AUCAGAGUAGAAUACAUUGCGUUAAGUGCCAAAUGGAUGGGAUGUUGCCGAUUGGACGAAAAAGAGAACUCUUUGCGGUAGUGUAUUCGCAUUCGCUGCA
rfam:Granulicatella elegans ATCC 700633 genomic scaffold supercont2.1, whole genome shotgun sequence.